UGAUAAAACAAAAAUUGAAACUCAAUCUCACUCCAGACUAACGAACUCUCACCUCACAUGGCCGCUCCAUACCUAGAACGACCAAUCUCCACUCACUGUCAUGCACUCUUCCGUCGAUUGAAUAUGAAAUCCUGUUCACCAUCGUUCGGCAUUCACCCACUUGAAACCCUUCUUCUCCAUCUUCAAUCAAAGAAUUGUAGACUCACGAACCUAGAGAACAUUCGGAUCCCUUUGCCUAAUCUCUCCUUACUUUUGUUGUUCGAUACUGCUGUUUGAGAUUCACAAACUGUCAAUCUCUACUGCUGAUUCUGGAGGUUAUGAAGGAGAUAACCUUCAAUCAGUCAUGGUUGGUGUUGUGAGCUACACAAGAGACUUUCAACUUCUCACAACUGAUUUGGAUUCUAUCUUGGGUUUCAUCUUUCAUAUUUUUGGUAGGUUUUUCGGUCGAUUACUUCUUCAUUCAAAACCCUAGUUUUUGUUUGAUUGACUACUUUAAUCCUGUUUAAUGUUCAUGUGAUCAUGCCACCUGCUAUCUACUUCUGUGCAGAUCAUACAAACUCUGUAACUAGUUUUAGGUUUAGUUAUGAUGGACAAUUGCAUCAGGAAGUAUGUAUAAAUUUGUUUAAGUCUAGGGUUAUAUAUGUGAAUCCGAAAGGAACAGUUGAUGGUCCUAAAGGUGCCAUAGAGGUAAAGUGAGAUUCUUAACUUUGUUUUGCCUCAACUAGUGGUUAAAUAAAUAUCCAUGAAGUCUUUCACCUUCAGUGGUUCAGAUGGCAUCUGAGAGGAAAAAUGCUCUUCGCUGGUUCUGACGAUUCCACCGCUCGGAUGUAGAAUGCUAAUAAAAAUUCCCUAAAUAUAUUUUCUGGUCAUGGUGUUAGUGUGACCUCUGGUGAUUUCACCCUGAUGACAGGAAAAGGGAGCGCAACACUCUCUUCUAAUCGAAGAAGUAAUGAUAAGCCAAAGUUAGAGGAUCGCUAAUCUAGAACCCAAAAGAGCAAUGCUCUCAAAUUCACACAACGUGAGUUUCUUUUUUAUUUUUUUUAUCAAAAAUCAUCUCAUUCCCUUCAACAUUUGUGCCCCUGACAUAUAUUGGUUCCUCUUUUCUUUGUUCAAAAUUUGAGGUGUUUUUGUUCUUUGGGUUCAGCUUCUUGAGUAAAUAAGAUAUUGAGUUUUUUUUUGUUUGUUUUGAGUUCAUCAUAUUUUGUGUUUUGAGUUUUGAUUUCUGAAAUACUCCAUGUUUAUAAGCUCUUUAAAUAAUGAAUAGUUUGUUUUGUGGUUGUUUUAGUAUAAACUCACAUAAAAGUAACAACUUUGUUACCUUUUUGGUUAAGAAUUAAUUUUAAAAAAUUGGUCGGGAAUCAUUUUCAUUCAAAUUUGAAUUUCAUUACGCAAUGACCUUCAUGGUUUUUGUGCAGACUUCGCCCAUCUUUCUUCUGCAACAACUACCAAAGUGAAUACAUCAACAAGAGUCUUUGGUGGAUUUCCAAAGUUACCAGUUUCAAUAAUAAAAAAGAUGAAUGAAUAAUGAUUAUAUCGAUGAAGAAUUCAAGAUUUGGAAAUACAAAAAAUGAGGACAAAAAUGCUGAUGUUUAAGUUUUUUUUUAUGGGUGUUUAAGUGUUUUUUUUUAUAGAUUGAUGAUUAUUUUGAAUAUGUUAUUUAGAUUAUGAAAAUGAUAAUUGACAUUAUGUCAAAGUAUAUAUUGAAGAUCUUAGUACUUUAUUUUGAAUAAUAUUUUUGAUGCAUA